rnacentral:rRNA from 1 species
UACGGGGGGGGCAAGCGUUGUUCGGAAUUACUGGGCGUAAAGGGUUCGUAGGUGGCCAAUUAAGUCAUACGUGAAAUCCCUCAGCUUAACUGGGGAACUGCGUCUGAUACUGGUUGGCUUGAGUGCAGGAGAGGAACGCGGAAUUCCAGGUGUAGCGGUGAAAUGCGUAGAUAUCUGGAGGAACACCGGUGGCGAAGGCGGCGUUCUGGACUGCAACUGACACUGAGGAACGAAAGCCAGGGGAGCAAACGGG